AGUGAACGCUGGCGGUAUGCCUAACACAUGCAAGUCGAACGGCAGCACAGUAAGAGCUUGCUCUUACGGGUGGCGAGUGGCGGACGGGUGAGGAAUACAUCGGAAUCUACUUUUUCGUGGGGGAUAACGUAGGGAAACAUACGCUAAUAUCGCAUACGACCUACGGGUGAAAGCAGGGGAUCGUCGGACCUUGCGCGAUUGAAUGAGCCGAUGUCGGAUUAGCUAGUUGGCGGGGUAAAGGCCAACCAAGGCGACGAUCCGUAGCUGGUCUGAGAGGAUGAUCAGCCACACUGGAACUGAGACACGGUCCAGACUCCUACGGGAGGCAGCAGUGGGGAAUAUUGGACAAUGGGCGCAAGCCUGAUCCAGCCAUACCGCGUGGGUGAAGAAGGCCUUCGGGUUGUAAAGCCCUUUUGUUGGGAAAGAAAAGCAGCAGGUUAAUACCCCGCUGUUCUGACGGUACCCAAAGAAUAAGCACCGGCUAACUUCGUG
rnacentral:rRNA from 1 species